CUGCUAAGAUUAAGCCAUGCAUGUCUAAGUAUAAGCACUUUAUACUGUGAAACUGCGAAUGGCUCAUUAAAUCAGUUAUCGUUUAUUUGAUAGUACCUUACUACAUGGAUACCUGUGGUAAUUCUAGAGCUAAUACAUGCUAAAAACCCCGACUUCAGGAAGGGGUGUAUUUAUUAGAUAAAAAACCAACGCCCUUCGGGGCUCCUUGGUGAAUCAUAAUAACUUAACGAAUCGCAUGGCCUUGCGCCGGCGAUGGUUCAUUCAAAUUUCUGCCCUAUCAACUUUCGAUGGUAGGAUAGUGGCCUACCAUGGUGGCAACGGGUAACGGGGAAUUAGGGUUCGAUUCCGGAGAGGGAGCCUGAGAAACGGCUACCACAUCCAAGGAAGGCAGCAGGCGCGCAAAUUACCCAAUCCCGAUACGGGGAGGUAGUGACAAUAAAUACUGAUACGGGGCUCUUUCGGGUCUCGUAAUUGGAAUGAGAACAAUUUAAAUCCCUUAACGAGGAACAAUUGGAGGGCAAGUCUGGUGCCAGCAGCCGCGGUAAUUCCAGCUCCAAUAGCGUAUAUUAAAGUUGUUGCAGUUAAAAAGCUCGUAGUUGAACCUUGGGUCUGGCUGGCCGGUCCGCCUCACCGCGAGUACUGGUCCGGCUGGACCUUUCCUUCUGGGGAACCCCAUGGCCUUCACUGGCUGUGGGGGGAACCAGGACUUUUACUGUGAAAAAAUUAGAGUGUUCAAAGCAGGCCUUUGCUCGAAUACAUUAGCAUGGAAUAAUAGAAUAGGACGUGCGGUUCUAUUUUGUUGGUUUCUAGGACCGCCGUAAUGAUUAAUAGGGAUAGUCGGGGGCGUCAGUAUUCAGCUGUCAGAGGUGAAAUUCUUGGAUUUGCUGAAGACUAACUACUGCGAAAGCAUUCGCCAAGGAUGUUUUCAUUAAUCAGGGAACGAAAGUUAGGGGAUCGAAGACGAUCAGAUACCGUCGUAGUCUUAACCAUAAACUAUGCCGACUAGGGAUCGGACGGGAUUCUAUGAUGACCCGUUCGGCACCUUACGAGAAAUCAAAGUUUUUGGGUUCUGGGGGGAGUAUGGUCGCA
rnacentral:rRNA from 1 species